ACAUGUAAAUACCUGGAGUUAUAUACCGCCUUGGACCUGGAGUUUACCUGGAGAGAGUUUCGGGGGUCAACGCCCCCGCGGCCCGGUCUGUGACCAGGCCUCCUGGUGGAUCAGCGCCUGAUCAACCAGGCUGUUGCUGCUGGCUGCACGCAAACCAACGUACGAGCCACAGCCCGGCUGAUCAGGAACUGACUUUAGGUGCUUGUCCAGUGCCAGCUUGAAGACUGCCAGGGGUCUGUUGGUAAUCCCCCUUAUGUGUGCUGGGAGGCAGUUGAACAGUCUCGGGCCCCUGACACUUAUUGUAUGGUCUCUUAACGUGCUAGUGACACCCCUGCUUUUCAUUGGGGGGAUGGUGCAUCAUCUGCCAAGUCUUUUGCUUUCGUAGUGAGUGAUUUUCGUGUGCAAGUUCGGUACUAGUCCCUCUAGGAUUUUCCAGGUGUAUAUAAUCAUGUAUCUCUCCCUCCUGCGUUCCAGGGAAUACAGGUUUAGAAACCUCAAGCGCUCCCAGUAAUUGAGGUGUUUUAUCUCCGUUAUGAGAUAAUAUGUUUAUUCUGCACUCCAUACUCAGCUUGUGGUCGGUAGUAAGAGGAAGUGCAAGGAAAAGGAAAGUGGUUCCAUAUUAUUAAAAAUAUAAGUAAAUAUUAAAGACUGAGGGGCAACAGUUCAGGUUUCAAUGUAUAUGUGAAAAUGCUCCUUCCAGAAAUAUGCUAAAUUUCGUGCUGGCUUGGAAGAAUGAGAAGUCUAUCUAAUGUAAUGAUCAACGCAAACAAAUAUACGAGAAUGUUAAACUCUAAUUUUUUUUUUUUGGGGGGGGGUAUUGUUCUCAAGUAUAAUUAAAUCUUGUAAUAACCAUACUAGUUUAUAAUGAGAAAAAUUUCUGGAUGUGAGGACUGAGGGGAGAGGCUGAUGACGUCAGUGUCAAGAAUAACAGACAGGUGUGUCCAGCUGAUGCUGUGUGAGGUGCGGGUUGGUGACUGCCAGAUGAAGCUAAAAAUACUCUUAAAACUAUGUUGCUGGUUCCUACCUCUGCCAGGGCUGCUGCAGGAGGCAUGGCCAAUACAGUAGAACUGCCACUACAGAUCUCUGCACAUGCCUAUUUGAUGAACCAUAUGGUUGAUGCAGAUGAUGAUGAUGAUGUCAGACUUCAUUUAGCUGCUUUGUGUGGUGAUGAUAAAGGCUUAAGACAGAUCACAGCAGACCCUCAGUAAUAUUCAGUGGUUGAACUAUCGUGUUCGGCCUUACAUGUCACCUCCACUGAGAUUAGCAGUUUCAGAUAUUGUUGGAAGCUGGUGCAAAUCCAGAAGGUAGCAGAAAGAAUCGCUGCUCUCCAUUGUUGAUUGCAGUCAGAGAUGGGUUUUCUGAUGGUGUGAAGGUAAGCUUCAUUUUUAUGACCUAAAAAGAAGGAUUUUUGUGGUAUAUAUUAAAUUUCUAAUUACAGUAGACCGUCAUUUAGCAUGAGUUUAUUUGGCAUGAGUCAGGUAUAGCACAAUUGAAGAAUUUGCAGCACAAUAUUAUUUAACACUUCAUAAAAUUAAUUUAACACGGUUCAGUUUGCGGGAGAGGAAAAAAUUUUGAGCCCAUGGGAGGGGAAACCUACUGCCAAUCCCGCCACCCUCACCACCCCCUCAGCCUUCAUUUCGGCUCGUAUGCGUGUAGGACGCUCUUCUGGCAGCUCGCUAUGUUUGUCUAGAUACUUAUUUUAAUUGCUAUAACUUAAAUCUGCCAAGCAAUCAUAGCACCUAGUAGGCAUACAAGUGUUUCUGAAAGUAGCAAGAAAAGGUUGAAGCGUGUAAGUCUAGGAAUUACAAAGAUAAUCGAGAUAUUAGAUAAGCUUAAGAGUGGCUCAUGUGUGGUGGAUAUAGUGAGGGCCUAUGACCUUAAUGAAGCAUCAGUUCGUGCAAUUAGAAAGAACGAGGUGAAUAUACAAGCUUGUGUAAUG